CUGGCGGCAGCUUACACAUGCAAGUCGAACGGUAGCAGGAGAAAGCUUGCUUUCUUGCUGACGAGUGGCGGACGGGUGAGUAAUGCUUGGGAAUCUGGCUUAUGGAGGGGGAUAACUACUGGAAACGGUAGCUAAUACCGCGUAAUAUCGGAAGAUUAAAGGGUGGGACCGAAAGGCCACCUGCCAUAAGAUGAGCCCAAGUGGGAUUAGGUAGUUGGUGGGGUAAAGGCCUACCAAGCCGACGAUCUCUAGCUGGUCUGAGAGGAUGACCAGCCACACUGGAACUGAGACACGGUCCAGACUCCUACGGGAGGCAGCAGUGGGGAAUAUUGCACAAUGGGGGGAACCCUGAUGCAGCCAUGCCGCGUGAAUGAAGAAGGCCUUCGGGUUGUAAAGUUCUUUCGGUGAUGAGGAAGGUAUCAAAUUUAAUAGAUUUGGUAAUUGACGUUAGUCACAGAAGAAGCACCGGCUAACUCCGUGCCAGCAGCCGCGGUAAU
rnacentral:rRNA from 1 species